AAUCUCGGCUUCAACGACUUCACGAGCCUUAGCCCUCUUGGGGCAUAUUGUGAAACUUUUAACUUAUAAAGUCGACGGUUGGACACGUGCUUCUCGUAGAAAGCAGAGGAGUCCGCGUAGCUGCUAUAGUUGUACAUUUUAGCUUUAGCUGUUGCACAAGCCUCGGCCCUCCCAAGCAUGUUGCAAAAAUUUUAAAUUAUAGAGUCAAUGGCCGAACACAUGCUUCUUGUAGAAAGCAGAGGAAAUCCACAUAACUGCUAUAAUCGUAUAUUUCAGCUUUAGCUCUUUCAAAACUUAAAAUGUACAUCGGCAGCCGGAAACACUGCUUUUAAAUAAGCAAACGG
rnacentral:lncRNA from 1 species